CCGGCAGGCCAGUGCAGGCUGCUCAUUACCCUUUUAAGUUGGAACACCUGUGAAUGGAAGGUCUCUCAGCAAACAUAUCAGCAGAGAGAGCAACAAACAAAGGAUUCAACUCGUGGUACAACCAAAGGAGCCACUGGUUUUCAACCUGAUAGACCAACCACUCAUCAAGAAGAAACAAAUAAGGAAAAAAUAAAAUAAAAAUUGAGCUGUGUUGGAAAGAGUUGUCCCGUGCGUCCUUUGGGGUUCAUGUACCAGGCCAUUUCAAGUUGGGCAAGAGUUGAAAAACACCUAGGAACUUGACAAUAGUCAAGUGCCUUAUACAUUUGCAGAUCAAUGGACACCUGUACUCACCUGCUGUGUUUUCCACCUCUCCGGCUAUCCUUGAAAUAUUCCGUGCCGUGGCGGAAUGGUUAGAGC